GACGAACGCUGGCGGCGCGCUUAACACAUGCAAGUCGAACGGAAAGGCCUGCUUUCCCUUGUGGAUUGCGGGUACUCGAGUGGCGAACGGGUGAGUAACACGUGAGUGAUCUGCCCCCAACUUGGGUAUAAGCCUGGGAAACUGGGUCUAAUUCCCGAUAGGACUGCAGGGUGGUGCCUGUGGUGGAAAACGAUUUUCUAGUGGUUGGGGAUGAGCUCGCGGCCUAUCAGCUUGUUGGUGGGGUAAUGGCCUACCAAGGCGACGACGGGUAGCCGGCCUGAGAGGGUGGACGGCCACAUUGGGACUGAGAUACGGCCCAGACUCCGACGGGAGGCAGCAGUGGGGAAUAUUGCACAAUGGGCGGAAGCCUGAUGCAGCGACGCCGCGUGGGGGAUGACGGCCUUCGGGUUGUAAACUCCUUUCGACCGCGAGGAAGCCACCUGGUUGGAAGGGUGGUGACGGUAGUGGUAGAAGAAGCACCGGCUAACUACGUG
rnacentral:rRNA from 1 species